AAAUCUGCUGAUAGUUGUGAAGAUGCUCGCGAAUUAGUACCACUCAUCUUUGAACCGAGGACCCCUGAAUCGCUCCCCGCUAGUGAAUUAUUGAUGGUUAGAAGAUUUAUCAGCAAUUUGUUCCUGAAUCACAACAUGCCCACUGGUGAUAAUGAAGAUUUCAGCAUGCCUUCUCCUGAAAUAAUGAUGUUUCGAAGAAAAGGAAUAUCAAACGGAGUCCAAGCGGAAUGAAAC